AGUGAACGCUGGCGGUAGGCCUAACACAUGCAAGUCGAACGGCAGCACAGUAAGAGCUUGCUCUUACGGGUGGCGAGUGGCGGACGGGUGAGGAAUACAUCGGAAUCUACUUUUUCGUGGGGGAUAACGUAGGGAAACUUACGCUAAUACCGCAUACGACCUACGGGUGAAAGCAGGGGAUCUUCGGACCUUGCGCGAUUGAAUGAGCCGAUGUCGGAUUAGCUAGUUGGCGGGGUAAAGGCCCACCAAGGCGACGAUCCGUAGCUGGUCUGAGAGGAUGAUCAGCCACACUAGAACUGAGACACGGUCCAGACUCCUACGGGAGGCAGCAGUGGGGAAUAUUGGACAAUGGGCGCAAGCCUGAUCCAGCCAUACCGCGUGGGUGAAGAAGGCCUUCGGGUUGUAAAGCCCUUUUGUUGGGAAAGAAAAGCAGCAGGUUAAUACCACGCUGUUCUGACGGUACCCAAAGAAUAAGCACCGGCUAACUUCGUG
rnacentral:rRNA from 1 species